rnacentral:lncRNA from 1 species
CCUCAGCGUACGCUUGGGAGCGGGAGCCAAGUGUCAACCUGAAAGAGCGUGCAUCUGACCACGUGACGUGGCACUCUCCGCAACCAAUAGGAGCGCUGAUAAAGCCGCGGCCCUCCUGCUUGGUCUAGGACUGAAUUUCAUCACAACACAUCCAGCGAUCUACAGCCAUUUAAAAAUAUAACAAAUCCUUUGUAAAUGUCUCAACGUUGUGGAGAUCACAAUGCUGUCUUAAAGAUUCUCCUUGUGAAGCCGGAAUACAAUGGGAAACGUAAGCCCCAGGGACCUUCAAACCCUCCCUUUUCCCACUUUCUCCCAGCCGUGUCUCAAACCGCAGAUAAAUAGGACUACAGUCGCUGUGAAACAUCUGGGCUUUAAUCAGGAACACAGUCUUUAGUGCAAACCUAUGAGAGGGGUACCAUGGUUAUGCCCAUUUUAGAGGUGAGGUCCAUGGAGGAGAAGUAGCUUGUCUAGUGUUACAUAACUUGGAUGCUCUGCAACUUCAAUUCCUGUGGAUGAUGGAACACACAAGUACUUUCCAAGACAUAGAUGCCGUAUGUAUGCCUCCAUGGUUCUCUCUCACUGAAUCCAUCAUUCUCUGGUAGCCACUAUUCUAUGGACUUACUCCUCAACUAUCUUUGCCCCCAGUUUUGAUCUCAUUUUCUCUUUGAAAAGAACAUAUGCCCAAUUUAAAGGAAAAAGGAUUCCCUUGGAGCAGGGACCUCCACAAUUACUG